ACCGCUCUCCAAGGACUCUCGAGCAGCUCCAUCUACAGAUUCACAUGGAGAAGAAUUAAGGGUUCCUGCCAAUCACCAGCACCACUUUGCCAGCCUUGUAAGUGGGCCACCUUGGAAUUGGAGCCUCCAGUUCCUACUGACAUCUGACUGCAACAUCAUGAGAGACCCUGAGUUUGAACCACCCAGCUGAGCUGCUUCUGAGCUAACCCACUGAAACCGUGAAAGUACCUGAAUGAAACAACACCCAGUAGCCACUAGCACACCUAGCUCCCAGAUCUGUUUUUGAUGCCAUUCUUCAGUAAAAGGAAGCAAGGCUGCUUGGAGAAAUUGCUAUCAAGGACUGGGGUAGAAAAUAUACAAGAUGAAAUUGGAGCAUCUUGUAGUGCUUGAAAACAGUUGGCAUCUGUGUGAAGAUGUGAAUGGAGGAGGCAGAGUAGGCAGUGAGUGCCGCAGCCACAGCUUGUGUUCUCUGCAGCCCUGGCACAGAAGAUAGGAACACUCAUGGGGGAUGCGGCCACUGUGAUGUCUUCCCACACAAGAAGUGCCAAGUGCUUUUCUCAUGCUUUUCUGGAUUGUCCCAUGGUGGACGAGUCAGCAGGAGUGAGAUGGAGCAGCACAGUAGAGGGGUACCUGGCAAGGCCCGGAGGGAGGACCCCCUGCCCCAAACAUUUCAAUGAUAUCAGGUUCCUUAGAUCCUGGGAUGAGGAGGUGGACCAGCAGAAGGUGGGCUUGUGAAGGCAGCCCGGGGUCCAAAUCCUCCUGGCUCUUCAGCUUAGCGGGAUGUCACCUUCAGCGUCUGAAAGCUGGGUUUGAUGCGUCUGGAAAGGCGUCCCUGACAGGCGUCGUUGCCAGGAGCCCCUAGUGCCACCAGCAGCCAGCAGGGGAGGGCGUCCUCUGCCCGCUCACUUCUGACCCUUCUCUCGUUGCACCCGGAACAUGGUGCAGCUGGGAGCAGCCUGGGCUGCGCGGAAGGCUCAGAUUUGGGGACGGCCCUUGCCAGUGACUGUGAGCUGGGGUGUCUUGGAAACUCCCAGUCUCAGCUUCUCCAUUUAUAAGAUGAGAAUGAUCAUACCAGACUCAGGCAAGGUUGUUUGUGCAUUAGUGAAAUCAGACGUAUUAAAUAAAGUACCACAUUGAUCGUGGAGUUGUUGAAUAACCAAGAACACGCC
rnacentral:lncRNA from 1 species